CGUGUAGGCGGGAAGGAAAGUCAGAUGUGAAAUCCCCAGGCUCAACCUGGGAACUGCAUUUGAAACUCCCUUUCUUGAGUACCGGAGAGGAAAGUGGAAUUCCUGGUGUAGGGGUGAAAUUCGUAGAUAUCAGGAGGAACACCAGUGGCGAAGGCGGCUUUCUGGACGGUAACUGACGCUGAGACGCGAAAGCGUGGGGAGCAACA
rnacentral:rRNA from 1 species